GUGGAAAACUGCAGCAGGAUUCUGGUCUUCAUAUUUUAGCCUCCAACCUAGAGGGAUGCUAGGACAAAUAAUGUCUAUCCUUUUCACAGCUCAAGCUCCCCUUAUUCCCUUGCUGCUAUGUGAACAUGCUGGGAAAACAUCACCUGCUAAAUAAGAGCUCCGCACCCCCCACCCAAGUGCUGGACUGUCCCGAGGGAGUUUGACAGAAGAAUGGAGUCUAUGGGGAUGGAAGUUGGAAGUCCCUAAGUGUGUUCAUCCAUUUGCACGCCUGUUCUCAGAAGACCUUGGCAGGAAGUAGGAAAUGCCUAACUCCAUAAAACUGGUCAUCCGGUCUAUUCCCCUGCGAAAGGUAGAUUAUUCUGGGUAGCUGAACCCUACACGGACGCCAAAAUAAUGAGAGGUUCAAUGACUGAUAUAAGAAAGGAAGCCAAAUAAACCUAAAAGCAUGUCCAAAUUACUUCCACAAAGAAAAUGAAUCUGUUCAGAUAAUUGCCAGGAAAAAGUCUAAUGCUGGAUGAAGUAGUCGAUGCAAAACCUAGCUUUCCAUUUCCACCUUUGCCAGGCCUGAGUUUCAGUGGGACGAAAAUGAAAUAGGUGAAGGAAGAGAUAAGAGUUUCUCUGUGGCUUUCACCCCGGUACCAUCAGAGUGUGAGUCCUAUGUAGGCAAAGGUGUGUUUGUGUGAGA